GCUUUUAUAGCUUAUAUAGAGCAUAGCGCUGAAGACGCUAGGGAAAUCAUUAGAUUUUAAAGCA
rnacentral:tRNA from 1 species